CAGAAGCAGAGAUGAAGAGAGAGAGAGAGUCAUAGAGGGAGCGAGAGGGGGGUGGAGCUUAGCCGACGGAGAGGAAAUGAAAUUCUAAACUGCAGCACAAUCAGCUGUCUGUACAUAGCUGCAUGAUCUGGAUCUCAUUCAAGCGCUCUGUCUGUCUGUCUGUCUCUCGUGUCUCCGGAAUGACGGGGCUUUGGCGGCCGAGCGAACGGCCCGGAGAGUGACGCACAGACCCCCCCUCUCUCCCCCCUACCUCCCCCCCAACCACCACCACCGCCACCCCGCCGUCUCCCCCACGCUUCGGCCUCCCCUUCUCCGUUGGUUCCGUCCGUUCCAACCUCCGAGCCUCCGUCCCUCUGAUCAGGGACCAGCUGACCUCGCGGGUGGGGGGGGGGGGGGGGGGGUCCCGUCUCCCUGACCAGGCGCUGGGGAGGCUGCUGUCGUCGUUGUCGUCGUCAGGACAACGUCCCGGCUCGUCAAUCAUCCCAACUUAACGCCUCUUAACGGCAUGGAUGGACUGCGUCUGCCCCCGCUCAUAGAGGAGGUCAUGGAUCCCUCUGAAGAGCUCCAGAAGGAGGAGAAGCACCAGGAAGCACUCGAGGACGACAAGGAGAAGAAGAGGAAGGAGAAGGAGGAGGAGGAGAAGGAGGAGA